rnacentral:lncRNA from 13 species
GCCUUCUCUAUUUCUGAAAACUGGAGAAAAGGAAGCUUCUGUAACACAACUCUCAAGGGUCCCAGGAAGGAAGUCAAGAAAACCAGAGUCCUGAAGCAACCUGACAAUUCCAGUUCUGAAGAGAAUCUCAGCUAUGGCACUGAGCCCAGGAAACAGAGGUGUUCCAGCCUCUGCAAAGCCUCUGAAGGUUCCCUGAAAAUCACUGACAAAAAGCAGAUUUAUUCAGAGAAAAGGCAUACAAAUUGAUUUAUCAUGGUUUUAUGUAACAUGGAAGCCUUCGGAAUGAAAACCCAAAAAUACAAGGGAAGUUGUUCAUUUUUAUGUUUGGGUUCAACAAAGUAUGGACAGCUGUGUAGAAACAUGAUCGGGCAAAAAGGAUAUGAUCUAAUGGUAAUAGGCUCAGUGGGGAAACUCAGCAAAACCUCUCUUUUCAAGUUCUUCUUGGCCUCUGCACAGGAUUCCUGCCUUCCAGGUUUGGGCAGGACCCUCUCUGGAAUAGUUCUUAUAAGCUAUGGUCAAACAAGAGCAGAAUGUCACUAUGUUACUCAAACUCCUGACUUCGAGCAAUCAUUCCACCUUGGCCUCCCAAAGUGCUGGGAUUACAAGUGUGAGCCACUGCACCUCGCCAAGAUCAUUUCUUUGCUUCCAGAAUUUAUACAAAAAGGUAGGGGUGGUUGCGGGGGGAUUAGAGUAGUAUUUUUUUAUCUUAUGGCUGGUUUGUGGGGGGAAAGGAGUUCUGGUUUCUAUGGACCCCCAUCUUGGGGAAGAGGAAUUCUACUUUCUGUGGCUGGCCUUAGGGGAAAAUGAAAGGAAGGUCAGGAAAAGGUCAGAGAAAAACUUUUGCUUCUGAGGCCUUCGUUUUAAGAUAUCAUUUUCUGAGUCCCAACAAGCACCAUGUAAGAAUAUGGAAAAUGAAGCAGAUUUUGAACUCUCAGAGAGAGCUCCUCUCACACGGGUGGGUGUAGUACUGCUCAGUUGCCCUUUUUCUUCAUUCACAGGGCCUGAGAAACCUGUGGCUGAGAAACUGCUGGACCAGCUGGUCCUCAUUAGCCUAUAAACACUGCAGGCAAACAGGAUUAAUAAAUCAAAUCUAAGAGAAUUAAGAAGGGAUAUG